rfam:Erinaceus europaeus unplaced genomic scaffold scaffold01318, whole genome shotgun sequence
GCAAGGCAGCGUGCACAGUCUUCACCUGUGUCUGAUGGCAGUGUCUGUGUUUUGCGUUCAGAUCCCGUUACCCACACAAACGCCAUGCAGCCAGAGCGCGAUUCAGGGUCAUAGUACAGGCUUCGUGCUGUGUCUGUGGACACAUUCACUGCAGGCCAGCCUCCAGGCCCCCACACACAG